rnacentral:rRNA from 1 species
AAUCAACGCUGGCGGCGUGCCUCAGACAUGCAAGUCGAACGAGAAAGUUUCCUUCGGGGAAUGAGUAAAGUGGCGCACGGGUGAGUAACACGUAGGUAAUCUACCUUCGGGUGGGGAAUAACCCAGGGAAACUUGGGCUAACACCGCAUAAAUGCAGCGGCACCACAUGGGUGAACAGUUGUUAAAGCGGGGGGAUUUUAGGACCUCGCGGCCCU